rnacentral:tRNA from 1 species
GGUUGUGGCUCAGAGGUAGAGCGCUUGCCUAGCAUGCGGGAGGCACUGGGUUCGAUCCUCAGCACCA